UACGUAGGGGGCAAGCGUUGUUCGGAAUUACUGGGCGUAAAGGGCUCGUAGGCGGCCAACUAAGUCAGACGUGAAAUCCCUCAGCUUAACUGGGGAACUGCGUCUGAUACUGGAUGGCUUGGAUUUGGGAGAGGGAUGCGGAAUUCCAGGUGUAGCGGUGAAAUGCGUAGAUAUCUGGAGGAACACCGGUGGCGAAGGCGGCAUCCUGGACCAAUAUUGACGCUGAGGAGCGAAAGCCAGGGGAGCAAACGGG
rnacentral:rRNA from 1 species